UGUUACCUAACCCGCUGAGUUACUCCAGUUCUUUGUGUUCUACAAAAUAAUCCAGUAUGUCUUUUUAACCAUUUUAUCUACUUUUCCUGCUACAUUUAAAGAAUUGUGAAUAUAUAAUUGAAGGCUUCUCCAUUCUGCCUCCCCACUUAAUAUUCCCCGAUGUAUUGAAGACGCCUCUUGUUGAACCUAUCCAAAUGCAUUACCUCAUACUUCUCUGUUCAACUGUCCAAACUUUUUAAAUGCUUGUGU